rnacentral:rRNA from 1 species
GAUGAACGCUGGCGGCGUGCCUAAUACAUGCAAGUCGAGCGAAGCGGGGACGGGUGAGUAACACGUGGAUAACCUCCUAUAAGACUGGGAUAACUUCGGGAAACCGGAGCUAAACCGGAUACUUAUCGAUGGAUCCGCGUGGCAUUAGCUAGUUGGUAAGGUAACGGCUUACCAAGGCACGGAUGCAUAGCCGACCUGAGAGGGUGAUCGGCAAAACUGGAACUGAGACCCGGUCCAGACUCCAACGGGAGGCAGAAGUAGGGAACUUUCCGCAAUGGGCGAAAGCCUGACGGAGAAACGCCGCGUGAGUGAUGAAGGUCUUCGGAUCGUAAGACUCUGUUAUUAGGGAAGCGGUACCUAAUCAGAAAGCCACGGCUAACUACGUGCCAGCAGCCGCGGUAAUAC